rnacentral:tRNA from 1 species
GUGCCCGUCGUUCAACGGACCAGGACACUCGGCUACGAACCGAGAGACUCGGGGUUCAAAUCCCCGCGGGCAUACCA